rnacentral:rRNA from 1 species
CGGGGGCCCGCACAAGCGGUGGAGCAUGUGGUUUAAUUCGAUGCAACGCGAAGAACCUUACCUACUCUUGACAUCCUGCGAAGCUAGCUGAGAGGCUGGUGUGCCGAAAGGAGCGCAGAGACAGGUGCUGCAUGGCUGUCGUCAGCUCGUGUUGUGAGAUGUUGGGUUAAGUCCCGUAACGAGCGCAACCCUCGUCCUAUGUUGCCAGCGGGUAAUGCCGGGGACUCGUGGGAGACCGCCGGGGUAACUCGGAGGAAGGUGGGGAUGACGUCAAGUCAGCAUGGCGGUUACGCCUGGGGCUACACACAUGCUACAAUGGGCGCAACAAAGGGCAGCAAGACCGCGAGGUGGAGCUAAUCCCAAAAAUACGCCCUCAGUUCAGAUUGCAGUCUGCAACUCGACUGCAUGAAGUUGGAAUCGCUAGUAAACGCAGGUCAGCUAUACUGCGUUGAAUACGUUCCCGGGGUUUGUACACACUGCCCGUCAAGUGAUCCGAAUUGUCUUCACCCGAAGUCCGUGGCCUAACCGUAAGGAAGGAGCGGCCGAAGGUGAGGGGGGUAAGGAGCACUAAGUCGUAACAAGGUAACC